rnacentral:rRNA from 1 species
GACGAACGCUGGCGGCGUGCUUAACACAUGCAAGUCGAACGAUGAACCAGAGCUUGCUCUGGGGAAUAGUGGCGAACGGGUGAGUAACACGUGGGCAACCUGCCCCAGACACCGGGAUAACCAUUCGAAAGGAUGGCUAAUACCGGAUAUGACCACUUCAGGCAUCUGAUGGUGGUGGAAAGGAUUCUGGUCUGGGAUGGGCCCGCGGCCUAUCAGCUUGGUGGUGGGGUAAUGGCCUACCAAGGCGACGACGGGUAGCCGGCCUGAGAGGGCGACCGGCCACUCUGGGACUGAGGCAGGGCCCAGAGUCCUACGGGAGGCAGCGGUGGGGAAUAUUGCGCAAUGGGCGAAAGCCUGACGCAGCGACGCCGCGUGAGGGACGAAGGUCUUCGGAUUGUAAACCUCUUACAGCAGGGACGAAGCGAAAGUGACUGUACCUGCAGAAGAAGCACCGGCUAACUACGUGCCAGCCGCCGCCGUAAUAC